rnacentral:pre_miRNA from 1 species
AUUAUUGUUUCGAGGAAAGGAAGAAGCCAUGGAUUUUGGUCUCUCGGCGACGGCGGCCUAACUCUUGCUGGAGCCUGGGAAUGAACAAGGCUUUUUUUUCUUCUUCUGUCAAAUGGG